rnacentral:misc_RNA from 1 species
UUAGGCACAACCCUUAAGAAAGCUUUUACAGGGGUGUAUUUAAAACUAAACUUAUUGAUGACAGUUGAAACUUUAAAUUUGACUACUACUACAAUUUGUGGUUAUUUAAUGCUUCCUCUAAUUCAUAUUGAGCGAAAUUUUUGGAUUUGGCACACUCCUUAGGAAACACAUUCAAGAACAUAGUUCAAAGUCUACUUUCCAUUAUUGCCCUUUUGCUUAUUCCCAAACUAUUCUUAAAAGUAGAAAGAGUCAUUACCUAAAAGGUUUAGUGAUUUGAUUAUGAUAAUUACUCGUAUA